rnacentral:ncRNA from 1 species
UAUGAGUUUUAUUCUGGCUCAGUAAUAAUUUAUUGUUGCAUUGAUUUAUAUAUAAGUGGGUGUUGAAUAUUAGGUCUUAAUGAUUUUGUGGUGGAUUAAUGUAAUAUUUUGUAUUAGAUAUAAAAGAUAUUUUGAUCUAGUAAUUGUUAGGAAGUAUUGAUGAAGUAUGUGCCAGCAGUCGCGGUUAGACAUUAGAUAUGAGUAAAUUUUAUUGGUCAUGUAGUUUAUAGUGGUGUAAUUAUGAAGGUUGGGUUAUUAGGUGAAAUUAAUAAUUUUGGGGUAUGGAUUAUAAUAUAAUUGUGAUGCUGUGAAAUCAAAUAUGUAAACUAGGAUUAGAUACCCUAUUAUUUUUGAAUUAAAGUUGGGGACUGGAGUAGUAGUAGAUAUGGGCUUGAAACUUAAAGAAUUUGGCGGUAUUUUAGUCUAGUUAGAGGAAUCUGUUCAGUAAUUGAUAAUCCGCACUGAACCUUACUUAUUUUGUGUUUGUAUGCCGUCGUUGUUGAAAAUCUUUUUAGGGUAUUUUCUUAAUAUUGGAUUAGGUAAUAUUUCAGAUCAAGGUGCAGUUUAUGAAUGAGUUGAAAUGGAUUACAUUAUUAUUAAUAUGUGGAUAUAUUAUUGUAAGAUAAUAGUUGAAAAUGGAUUUAAUAGUAAUAAUUUAAAGAUUGUUAUUAUGAAAUUAGCUCUAGAAUAUGUACACAUCGCCCGUCGCUCUCGUUAAUUAAGGUGAGAUAAGUCGUAACAUAGUAGGUGUACCGGAAGGUGUAGCUAGAUUGU